AAAGCAUUCAAGGUUGAGGAGCUCGGUGUCAUAAUCCUGUGUUUACUGAUUCUUUUAUCGUUAUUUUUUUCCAUUAGGGGGAAUGGUUGACCCAAUCAGUGUCAGAUUGUUUCAUCCUUGUUGUUGCCCACCCACUGUUGUAAAUUUUGUAAAUCAAUCUUUUCACUUUGGGAUUUUGUCUCCUGUCUGAGGUUACGCACUUGUGUCCUUAGUUGCUUGUGACAGAAAAAUCUCACCACAAUAUAGACAGCGAGUCUUCACAAGGUGCACUAUUUGGACAACACAACCAGCUCUUAUCCAAGAUUGUGAGAUUGCUUCAGGAGCUUAGAGCAAAUGUUUCUGGCUUGCUUGGUCAAGCGACUCCAGCUUCCUCGGCACGCUCUUCCACUCUGUUGGUCCCUGCGUCGUCUGAAGGCUCAGCCUCCCAAAUGCCAAAAUCGUUGGUUUCCACGGCAGCCUGUGAGCCUCACAUUCCCAUUCCCAGCUGCUACUCCGGUGAGGUAGGGCAUUGCAGUAGUUUUUAAUUACAAUGUUUACUGGUGUUCGACCUUAAAACCCUAAGGUGCGCCUCAGACAGGGCAAAAAUCACAUUUGUUUUGGAUUUGUGGUCUGGAAGGGCCCUGCAAUGGUUUUUAUAGAACACCGCACUCUUGCAUCUGCCUCAUACAAUGUGGUUAUGACAGAACUCAGGCGGGUGUUUGAUCAUCCAGUUCGGUGUGGUGAGGGAGAUACCCGGCUCUUUAGUUUCGCUAAAGCUUCUGCGUCAGUCGGCAAUUAUUCUAUGCAGAAUUAAUGUAGCAGAGAGUGAUUGGAAUGACACCACACUUUGGGGAGAUUUACUGAGAGGGCUGAAUGAGUAAUUAAGGGACAAAUGCGCUGCGGGAAACAUCUCCCCAGGUCUCGCAUCUGAUCUCGCUCUGUAUCUGCCUGGACAACCGUCUGAGGGAGAGGUGGAGAGAGAGGGCCACAUUACAACAUUUCUCUGCUGUUUUUCCCCAAAGUCAUUUUAAGGUUCCCACAGUGGAGGACCCUGUUUCAAGCACUGAAACGGUGGAACCCAUGCAGAUGGCUGCUUCAUUGAUCAGGAGGUGUUCAAGCACAAACAUCCCAUUGGAGAAGCUACCCAAGCCAAAAACAAUACUGGAUCUUGAUGGGAAAAAUCUCACUAAGCUCUUCUGCUGGACCAAAGAGGUGGAGGCAGCAUUCACCCAUCUCCAGUCCUUGCUUAUCUCGGCCCCUAUUUGA
rnacentral:lncRNA from 1 species